rnacentral:rRNA from 1 species
GAUGAACGCUGGCGGCGUGCCUAAUACAUGCAAGUCGAGCGAACAGACGAGGAGCUUGCUCCUCUGACGUUAGCAGCGGACGGGUGAGUAACACGUGGAUAACCUCCCUAUUAAACUGGGAUAACUUCGGGAAACCGGAGCUAAUACCGGAUAAUAUAUUGAACCGCAUGGUUCAAUAGUAAAAGACGGUUUUGCUGUCACUUAUGGAUGGAUCCGCGCCCCAUUAGCUAGUUGUUAAGGUAACGGCUUACCAAGACAACGAUGAGUAGCCGACAUGAGAGGGAAAUCUGCGACGCUGGAAAGGAGACACGUUCCAGACUCCUAAGGGAGGCAGCAGUAGGGGAUCUACCGGAGUGGGCGAAAGCCUGACGGAGCAACGCCGCGGGAGUGAUGAAGGUCUUCAGAUCGUAUAACUCUGUUAUCAGGGAAGAACAAAUGUGUAAGUAUAUGUGCACAAAUUGACGGUACCUAAUCAGAAAGCCACGGCUAACUACGUG